rnacentral:rRNA from 1 species
CGCGGCCUAUCAGCUUGUUGGUGAGGUAACGGCUCACCAAGGCUUCGACGGGUAGCUGGUCUGAGAGGACGAUCAGCCACACUGGGACUGAGACACGGCCCAGACUCCUGCGGGAGGCAGCAGUGGGGAAUCUUGCGCAAUGGGCGAAAGCCUGACGCAGCCACGCCGCGUGGGGGACGAAGGCCCUCGGGUUGUAAACCCCUUUCAGCAGGGACGAAACCGACGGUACCUGCAGAAGAAGCUCCGGCCAACUACGUGCCAGCAGCCGCGGUAACACGUAGGGCGCAAGCGUUGUCCGGAUUCAUUGGGCGUAAAGGGCUCGUAGGCGGUUUGAUAAGUCGGGUGUGAAAACUCAGGGCUCAACUCUGAGACGCCACUCGAUACUGUCAUGACUAGAGUCCGGUAGGGGAGUGCGGAAUUCCUGGUGUAGCGGUGAAAUGCGCAGAUAUCAGGAGGAACACCGAUAGCGAAGGCAGCACUCUGGGCCGGUACUGACGCUGAGGAGCGAAAGCGUGGGGAGCAAACAGGAUUAGAUACCCUGGUAGUCCACGCCGUAAACGUUGGGCACUAGGUGUGGGUUCCAUCCAACGGAAUCCGUGCCGCAGCUAACGCAUUAAGUGCCCCGCCUGGGGAGUACG